UGCCAAUCACAUGUGUGCCUCACCACUAC
rnacentral:piRNA from 1 species